ensembl:miRNA aca-mir-5402 aca-mir-5402
AUACCUUUGUGAGUUUUCUUCUCUUGGUCUACAGAUCCGAUGUUUAACCGUUCUGUAGCUCUUGGGACUGAAGAACUUGCAAAGGCAC